UGCUUUGUUGAUAAUCGGGCGGUGUCACUACCCGAUUUGAGUCGAGUGCAGAUCUCCGUUGCGCAUGCUCAGAUUUAAACGGUUUAUGGCAUGACGUGUCAUACAGAAAUUUGUGAAAUCCAUUAAAUAAUAAACUUUUCUCAUUAGAAACAAUAACAGA